AACGAACGCUGGCGGCAUGCCUAACACAUGCAAGUCGAACGAGACCUUCGGGUCUAGUGGCGCACGGGUGCGUAACGCGUGGGAACCUGCCCUUAGGUUCGGAAUAACUCCCCGAAAGGGGUGCUAAUACCGGUUAAUGUCUUCGGACCAAAGAUUUAUCGCCUUUGGAUGGGCCCGCGUUGGAUUAGCUAGUUGGUAGGGUAAAAGCCUACCAAGGCGACGAUCCAUAGCUGGUCUGAGAGGAUGAUCAGCCACGCUGGGACUGAGACACGGCCCAGACUCCUACGGGAGGCAGCAGUGGGGAAUAUUGGACGAGGGGCGAAGGCCUGAUCCAGCAAUGCCGCGUGAGUGAUGAAGGCCUUAGGGAUGUAAAGCUCUUUUACCCGGGAUGAUAAUGACAGUACCGGGAGAAUAAGCUCCGGCUAACUCCGUG
rnacentral:rRNA from 1 species